rnacentral:misc_RNA from 1 species
AAAAUUUUAGUUGUUUUUCUUAAAUUUUGAAUAUUUAGUAAAGAAAUCACGACAAGAAGAAUGAUGCCGGUGUCUCAGGGAAGAAGGAUGGAUAGAAAAAGGAAGAGAAGAAUGAAACUGAAGAGAUUAAGAAGUCAGGGCAGCCAGAUGGCUAUUUUUCCAGCCACAUUUCCUUAAAAUGGCUAUCUUUCAAGGCUGUGGCAGAAGUGGCUUAAUGGCUUAAUAGUGGCUUUUUUUCAAAGUUUUACAGUAAAACCUUUAAAUUUACAUUUAUCGACAGUAAAAACUAUAAUUUAAGUUCAUGACACAUCACACAAACCAAAGUUUGGCUGCAAUUAUCUCUCUCAUAAUCAAAGUUUCUUGCAAGUUGUACUUUCAAAAGUCGGGUAUUUCUACUGUUUACGUCUAUAGAGUACGUUCAUCUGGUGGACAAAAUCUGUAACUGUACAAGUGUUCACAAACCAGUCUUCAGCUUCAGGAUACCUGAAACACUUCAUUUAUCAAAGGAAAAAGAUUCUUUUGAAAAUAAUCUUUUGCUUAGUGCUUGCAUUUACAGUUAUACAGCUUGGAUUAGAAUUGAAAUAUACUUACUAUGCUUAUUAAUUUACAGUUGAUAAGUUAUUAAAAUUGUUUCAUAAAGAAUGGGUAGUCCAGUCAAAAGAAAAAGAGGAGGAUCAGUCAGCAAAGUGAGAUCAGAACCUAGGAGACGUAUUAAGGGAAAAAAAGACUUCCCAUGGCUGAAACCAGGAACUGACCAUGGAUAUCAUCAAGAUUCAAAAUGUAGUUUGAGUGAUGAAUCCAUUCGUUCUCACAAGAGUUCACUCCAGAGUCAUAAGAACUCUCAAAAACACUCAUCCAAGGACCCCAAUAAAUCUAAACACCUGGUGAAUAUUAACAGUUUUUUGGGUAAUUCUUCUAAGACAAGCAAGAAAAGAGCUGAGAUCAAGAUUGCUGCUUGCAUGGCAUCAAAUGCAAGCCUUAGCUGCAUUAAUCACACUGGAGAGAUUAUUAAGGAGUUUGGUGUUGGAUCUUCUUGGGAAAAAUUGCGCUUGCAUCGCACCAAAUGUACAGCUUUGGUUAAUAAUUUAAUAUCCCGGUCCUUUAAAGGAGAACUCAAAAAAGCUAUCCAAGGUAGAAAGUUUUCACUUAUGGCAGAAGAAUCAACAGACUGCUCUUCCUCAAAGAUAAUGAUUGUCACAGUGAAAUACUAUAAUUCUACUCUGAAAAAAGUAUUAGAUGAAUAUUUGGGAGUGAUUGAUGUUCUGUCCUGCACUGGAGAAGCAUUGUUUGUUGCCCUUAAAAAGGUUGUUGAAGAUGUUGGGCUGGACCUUGAUGACUGCAUUGGAUUCGGCUCUGAUGGGGCAAAUAAUGUUGCAGGCCAGUCAAACUCUCUUUGGUCAAGAAUUAAGAUGGCCUGUCCUGGAGCUGUUCAAGUAAAGUAUGCCAUAGUCUGGCAUUGGUAUUGAAAUGGACUUUUGAUACCAUGCCUGGGGCAUUUGGGAUUUCUCAUCAUGGAGAUUCCAGGAUUCUUUUCUCACUCUGCACUUCAGAGAGAAGAAUAUCAGGAGGUACAGAAGGCGAUGUAUGUUGAUGAAGGUGUAUCUACUCCAUUGCAAGACUUGUUGACUUGUUCAAGGUCCUGUCAUGAACUGAAUUCUAUCCAAUUGAGAUGGGUUGCAGGCCUAUUUGUCAAACUUAGCCAAAUCCCUGAGUUUGGAUAACAAGGUGAAAGCUAAAUGCAGAAUUAUAGAAAGCUAUUUGCUUAACCCUGCUAACAGGCUCUACUUUGAGUUUGUUUGCCCUAUUGUAGCAGAAUAUGAGCGUGUAAAUGCUAUGUUCCAGCAAAACAACCCUAAUAUAUCUUUAAUGGUAAGGGAGGUAGAUCUUCAAAUCAAGGCAAUAAGAGACCGGGUUUAUUUUCCUAACAAAAAACCAAAGGAGAUGCACCACAUCUCAUUUGGAGCCAAGUUUAAGGAAAUGUGCCGAGUACAUGAGGUUAAGAAUCCAAAUAUGGUAUUGAACGUACAGACCAGGUGUAAGUUAUACCUGGAGACGGUUCUCAAGGAAACGGAGAAAAAAGUCACAGUAAACAUGGAAACAAUAGGAAAAAUAUCAAGAAUUUCCCCGCAGCUGAUCCUGGACAUAAACAAGGAAAUAAGAAUGGACCAGUUACCAUUCCCCUCAGUUUAUAAGUAACAUUUCGAUGGUCGAAAGUCAAAUCAUGAAGAUCAAACAUGUUGACUGGGUCUCUUCUCUGAAAAAUGAAAUCCCAGGAGAUGCAGCUGAGUUUUGGUCUCAUGUUUCCGAAUACACCAUCGAAGAUGGAACCAAACCUUUCUAUGAACUAUCUACAUACUUUCUAAACCUUCUUAGUAUGCCUGUCCAAGCGCGUUUGUAGAGAGAUGUUUCUCUUUGAGUCACUUUUGUGAAAGAUAAAUAUGCAAAUAGGAUGCAAACUAAAACCUUGGAUUCCAUUUUACGUCUAAAGUCCUUUCUCCAUGCGAGAAAUAUCUGUUGCAAGGAGUUGCAAAUCACCGACGAAAUGCUGAACAGGUUUAACUCCCACAACAUGUACCCGACCCAGGUUCCUUCUGAUGAUGAAUCUUUAGCUGUUAUAAACCUGUGCUCCAAGAUAGAAUAAGUAUUAUUUAGAUAAAACAUAAAUUUGAAAAUUGUGAUUGCUACAGUCAGAAAUGUGAUAUUUGUUUUUGGUUUUAAAACCUUGAAGUUUAUAUGUAUUUUUUUCA